ACUGAAGCUCGCGAGAGGAUCCUGGGGGCAGGCGCGUCGCGGUGGCAGUGUUUCUUGGGUGUGCGGGGCCGGGCGCCCCGUAGCCUCUGUUUACUGUAAAACAGUAUGCUGUGUUUGACCAGCAGCAGCCUCAUCUAUCUCAUGUUUACCACAUCUCUUGACUGCAUCAUUUCCUCUUGUGCUUGAUUUAAUCUCAUGUUUUGUUCAUCAUGUCUCCUAAGCAUUCAAAAUCCAUGGCUAAUUUUGCCAGUAAGAGGCCAUGCUGAGUAAUUGACCUGGAAACAAAAUUAAAAGUGAUUAAGGACUGUGAAGGUGGAAAAUCAGGGAUGGUUAUUGCUCACCAGUCAGGCAUGUCCCGUUUUACCAUAGCUGCCAUCCUAAAGAACAAGAGCAAAGUGAUAGAAGCUGUUAAAGGAUCUGCUUCAUUGAAGGCAAUGAGACUAACAAAAAUUUGAGAAGGGCCAAUAUCAGAUAUGGAUAAUAUCUGAUAUUGACCUAGAUUGAAGACCAGACACACAAGCAUGUCCCUCAGCACCAUGACAAUCACAGCUAAAGCAAAAAGCUUGUUUGUUACGUAGAUAGAAAAGGCUGGACCUGACUAUAUUGUUGAAUUUAUUGCUAGCUCUGGGUGGUUUAAAUGAUUCGAGAAUUGUUACUCAUUACACAAUUGUGAAAGUGAGUGCUAAGUCUACAAGUGCUGAUGUGAAGGCAGCUGAAUAAUUUUUGGAAACUCUAGAUAAGCUGAUUGUGGGGGAAAAUUACUUGCCAGAGCAAAUCUUUAAUAUGGAUCAAGGCUCCCUAUUCUGGAAAAAGAUGCCGGAAGGGACUGUCAUCCAUAAAGAGGCCAAGUCAGUGGCAGGUUUCACGGCUUUGAAGGACUGGCUAACAAUGUUUGGGGGCGAUGUUGCUGGCCACAAAUUAAAACCCUUUGUGAUUUGACACAGUGAGAACCCCAGGGCCUUCAAGCAUAUCAGUAAGCACACACUGCCGGUGUACUACAUGAGCAAUAACAAGUCAUGGAUGACCCAGCUUCUCUUCCAAUAUGCCCUCCUGAAUUGCUAUGCCAGUGAAAUGGAGAAGUACUGUUUGGAGAAUAACAUACCUUUCAAGAUUUUGCUUGUUGUUGAUAAUGCUCCUGUACAUCCUUUUAUUGGUGAUCUUUGUUUUAAUAUCAAACUGGUGUUUCUCCCUCUAAACAUCAACUCUUUGAUCCAACCAGUGGAUCAAGGAGUUAGAGCAGUUUUUAAGGCUCACUACCUAAAGCGGACGUUGCCCCAGGCUAUUGCUGCUAUUAUCUGAGGGAGACACUGAGAAGACACUAAUGCAAUUCUGGGAGGAUUACAGCAUCUAAGACUGCAUCAAGAACCUUGCUUAGGCUUAGGGUGAUGUCACCAAUGAGUGUAUGAAUGGCAUCUGGAAGGAGACACUCGAGGUUUGUUCAUGACUUCAGAGGAUUUGCCAUGGAUGACCAGGUUGCAAAAAUCCACAAGGCUGUGGUUGAGAUGGCAAACAGCUUUAACCUGGGUGUGAAUGAGGAUGACAUUGAGGAGCUCCUAGCGGUGGUUCCUGAGGAAUUGACUAAUGAGUUGUUGGAAAUAGAACAGGGACACAGCUGAAGAAGAGGCAAGAGAAAACAAAACUGCAGAAAACCACCAUCAAGAAAAUUUGCAGUAGGGAGUUUAGCAGAAGCUUUUGCAGACCUCAAGAAACUCCUUAAAAAGUUUGGGCCGGGCGCGGUGGCUCACUCCUGUAAUCCCAGCACUUUGGGAGGCCAUGGUGGGAAGAUCACGAGAUCAGGAGUUCAAGACCAGCCAGACCGACAUGGUGAAACUCCAUCUCUACUAAAAAUACAAAAAAAAAAAAAAAAAAGCCUGGGUGUGGUGGCACGCACCUGUAAUCCCAGCUACUAGGGAGGCUGAGGCAGGAGAAUCACUUGAACCUGGGAGGCAGAGGUUGCAGUGAGCCGAGAUCGUGCCACUGCACUCCAGCCUGGGUGACAGAGCAAGACUCAUCUCAAAAAAAAAAAAAAAAAAAAAAUUGAAAACAUGGACCCCAACACCAAAAGGUUUUCAUUAAUAGAGAGGAAUGUUCAUGGUGCAUUAUUUGUUUACUGGCAAAUCUAUGAUGAAAAAAGGAAAUACCAAGCAAACCACCAUGGACAUAUUUCUGAAAAGAGGGACACCUCCUUAAGAAGAGUCCCAGGCAGGUCCUUCAUGGGUAUUUCAGAAGAGGGCAUUGCUAUCAUAGGAGAUGACAGCUCUGUGCAUGUUACUGCCCGGGAAGACCUUCCAGUGGGACAAGAUGUGAAGGUGGAAGAUGAUGAUAUUGAUGAUUCUGACCUGUGUAUGCCUAGGCUAAUGUACUUGUGUCUUAGUUUUUAACAAAAAGUUGAAGUAAAUAAUUUAAAAGAAAAAUGCUUAUAAAAAUAAAAUAUUUUUGUAUAGCAUUACAGUGUGUGUUUUAAUCUAAGUGUUAUUACAAAAGUCAGAAAAUUUUAAAAGUUUAGUAAAAAGUUAACAUUAGGUUAACUUAUUGAAGAAAGAAAUUUUUAAGUAAAUUUAGUUUACUCUAAGUGUACAGUAUUU
rnacentral:lncRNA from 1 species